rnacentral:rRNA from 1 species
UACAGAGGUGGCAAGCGUUGUUCGGAUUUAUUGGGCGUAAAGGGUCCGUAGGCGGUUUGGAAAGUCGGGUGUGAAAUCCCACAGCUCAACUGUGGAACUGCACUCGAAACUUCCAGACUAGAGUAUGAGAGGGGUAAAGGGAAUUCCCGGUGUAAGGGUGAAAUCUGCAGAGAUCGGGAGGAACACCUGUCGCGAAGGCGCUUUACUGGCUCAUUACUGACGCUCAGGGACGAAAGCUAGGGUAGCAAACGGG